rnacentral:rRNA from 1 species
CCUACGGGCGGCAGCAGUGAGGAAUAUUGGUCAAUGGCCGGAAGGCUGCACCAGCCAAGCCGCGUGAGGGAGGAAGGCGCAGAGCGUCGCAGACCUCUUUUGCCGGGGGACAAAAGUCCGGACUCAACCGCUCCUGAGGGUACCCGAAGAAAAAGCAUCGGCGAACUACGUGCCAGCAGCCGCGGUAAUACAUAGGAUGCGAGCGUUAUCCGGAUUGAGUUGGUUUAAAGGGUGCGCAGGCGGACGUUUAAGCCGGUGGUGAAAUCCCGGGGCUCAACCCCGGCGAGCCUUCGAAACUGGGGACCUAGAGUGAGGCGGAGGCAUGCGGAAUGCGAGGUGUAGCGGUGAAAUGCAUAGAUAUCGGGCAGAACACCGAUUGCGAAGGCAGCGUGCCGUGGCGACACUGACGCUGAGGCACGAAAGCGCGGGGAUCGAACAGGAUUAGAUACCCUGGUAGUC